rnacentral:rRNA from 1 species
GACGAACGCUGGCGGCGUGCCUAAUACAUGCAAGUUGAGCGCUGAAGGUUGGUACUUGUACCAACUGGAUGAGCAGCGAACGGGUGAGUAACGCGUGGGGAAUCUGCCUUUGAGCGGGGGACAACAUUUGGAAACGAAUGCUAAUACCGCAUAAAAACUUUAAACACAAGUUUUAAGUUUGAAAGAUGCAAUUGCAUCACUCAAAGAUGAUCCCGCGUUGUAUUAGCUAGUUGGUGAGGUAAAGGCUCACCAAGGCGAUGAUACAUAGCCGACCUGAGAGGGUGAUCGGCCACAUUGGGACUGAGACACGGCCCAAACUCCUACGGGAGGCAGCAGUAGGGAAUCUUCGGCAAUGGACGAAAGUCUGACCGAGCAACGCCGCGUGAGUGAAGAAGGGUUUCGGAUCGUAAAACUCUGUUGGUAGAGAAGAACGUUGGUGAGAGUGGAGAGCUCAUCAAGUGACGGUAACUACCCAGAAAGGGACGGCUAACUACGUG